CCCAGACUCCUACGGGAGGCAGCAGUGGGGAAUAUUGCACAAUGGGGGGAACCCUGAUGCAGCGACGACGCGUGAGUGAAGAAGUAUUUCGGUAUGUAAAGCUCUAUCAGCAGGGAAGAAAAUGACGGUACCUGACUAAGAAGCCCCGGCUAACUACGUGCCAGCAGCCGCGGUAAUACGUAGGGGGCAAGCGUUAUCCGGAUUUACUGGGUGUAAAGGGAGCGCAGACGGCUGUGCAAGUCUGGAGUGAAAGGCGGGGGCCCAACCCCCGGACUGCUCUGGAAACUGUAAAGCUGGAGUGCAGGAGAGGUAAGCGGAAUUCCUGGUGUAGCGGUGAAAUGCGUAGAUAUUAGGAGGAACACCAGUGGCGAAGGCGGCUUACUGGACUGUAACUGACGUUGAGGCUCGAAAGCGUGGGGAGCAAACAGGAUUAGAUACCCCUGUAUU
rnacentral:rRNA from 1 species